GGAAGCCUGAAAUGAUCAAGAUUCCUGUCUGGAGAGGAUGCUGUCACACUUCCUUCUGUGCCUUGUGUGAAAAGGGCAGAGUCUCCUCAAGAGAAAGUUGCUAUAAAAGCAAGAGGAACUCUGUUGUCUGCCUACACCUUGUACAGCUGAUCUCUUA